AAUUGUUCACAAUGGGCGCAAGCCUGAUGACGCAACGCCGCGUGGAGGAUGAAGGUCUUCGGAUUGUAAACUCCUGUUGCCCGGGACGAAAAGCUUCGACCUAAUACGUCGAAGUCUGACGGUACCGGGUGAGGAAGCCCCGGCUAACUACGUGCCAGCAGCCGCGGUAAUACGUAGGUGGCGAGCGUUGUCCGGAUUUAUUGGGUUUAAAGGGUGCGUAGGCGGCUCUAUAAGUCAGUGCUGAAAUAUCCCGGCUUAACCGGGAGGGUGGCAUUGAUACUGCAGAGCUUGAGUAAAGUUGAGGUGGGCGGAAUUGACGGUGUAGCGGUGAAAUGCUUAGAUAUCGUCAAGAACACCGAUUGCGAAGGCAGCUCACUAAGCUUUAACUGACGCUGAGGCACGAAAGUGUGGGGAUCAAAC
rnacentral:rRNA from 1 species